ACUCUUAGCGGUGGAUCACUUGGCUCGUAGAUCGAUGAAGAACGCAGUUAGCUGCGAUAAAUAGUGCGAAUUGCGGACACAUUGAGCACAAAAAUUUCGAACGCACAUUGCGCCAUCGGGUUUAUUCCCGUUGGCACGUCUGGCUGAGGGUCGAAAUC
rnacentral:rRNA from 1 species